rnacentral:rRNA from 1 species
CAGUAGCCGCGGGAAUACGUAGGUGGCAAGCGUUGUCCGGAAUUACUGGGCGUAAAGCGUGCGCAGGCGGUUGUGUAAGACAGGUGUGAAAUCCCCGGGCUUAACCUGGGAACUGCGCUUGUGACUGCACAGCUAGAGUAUGGCAGAGGGGGGUGGAAUUCCACGUGUAGCAGUGAAAUGCGUAGAGAUGUGGAGGAACACCGAUGGCGAAGGCAGCCCCCUGGGCCAAUACUGACGCUCAUGCACGAAAGCGUGGGGAGCAAACAGGAUUAGAUACCCCUGUAGUCCCUGUCUCUUAUAC